GGUUGACGGCGGACGGGNGANUNACACGNGGGUNACCUACCUAUAAGACUGGAAUAACUCCGGGAAACCGGGGCUAAUGCCGGAUAACAUUUAGAACCGCAUGGUUCUAAAGUGAAAGAUGGUUUUGCUAUCACUUAUAGAUGGACCCGCGCCGUAUUAGCUAGUUGGUAAGGUAAUGGCUUACCAAGGCAACGAUACGUAGCCGACCUGAGAGGGUGAUCGGCCACACUGGAACUGAGACACGGUCCAGACUCCUACGGGAGGCAGCAGUAGGGAAUCUUCCGCAAUGGGCGAAAGCCUGACGGAGCAACGCCGCGUGAGUGAUGAAGGGUUUCGGCUCGUAAAACUCUGUUAUUAGGGAAGAACAAACGUGUAAGUAACUGUGCACGUCUUGACGGUACCUAAUCAGAAAGCCACGGCUAACUACGUGCCAGCAGCCGCGGUAAUACGUAGGUGGCAAGCGUUAUCCGGAAUUAUUGGGCGUAAAGCGCGCGUAGGCGGUUUCUUAAGUCUGAUGUGAAAGCCCACGGCUCAACCGUGGAGGGUCAUUGGAAACUGGGAGACUUGAGUGCAGAAGAGGAAAGUGGAAUUCCAUGUGUAGCGGUGAAAUGCGCAGAGAUAUGGGGGAACACCAGUGGCGAAGGCGACUUUCUGGUCUGUAACUGACGCUGAUGUGCGAAAGCGUGGGGAUCAAACAGGAUUAGAUACCCUGGUAGUCCACGCCGUAAACGAUGAGUGCUAAGUGUUAGGGGGUUUCCGCCCCUUAGUGCUGCAGCUAACGCAUUAAGCACUCCGCCUGGGGAGUACGACCGCAAGGUUGAAACUCAAAGGAAUUGACUGGGACCCGCACAA
rnacentral:rRNA from 1 species